rnacentral:rRNA from 1 species
AUAGUGGCGAACGGGUGAGUAACGCGUAAGUAACCUACCUCUAAGUGGGGGAUAGCUUCGGGAAACUGAAGGUAAUACCGCAUGUGGUGGGCCGACAUAUGUUGGUUCACUAAAGCCGUAAGGCGCUUGGUGAGGGGCUUGCGUCCGAUUAGCUAGUUGGUGGGGUAAUGGCCUACCAAGGCUUCGAUCGGUAGCUGGUCUGAGAGGAUGAUCAGCCACACUGGGACUGAGACACGGCCCAGACUCCUACGGGAGGCAGCAGCAAGGAAUCUUGGGCAAUGGGCGAAAGCCUGACCCAGCAACGCCGCGUGAGGGAUGAAGGCUUUCGGGUUGUAAACCUCUUUUCAUAGGGAAGAAUAAUGACGGUACCUGUGGAAUAAGCUUCGGCUAACUACGUGCCAGCAGCCGCGGUAAUACGUAGGAAGCAAGCGUUAUCCGGAUUUAUUGGGCGUAAAGUGAGCGUAGGUGGUCUUUCAAGUUGGAUGUGAAAUUUCCCGGCUUAACCGGGACGAGUCAUUCAAUACUGUUGGACUAGAGUACAGCAGGAGAAAACGGAAUUCCCGGUGUAGUGGUAAAAUGCGUAGAUAUCGGGAGGAACACCAGAGGCGAAGGCGGUUUUCUAGGUUGUCACUGACACUGAGGCUCGAAAGCGUGGGGAGCGAACAGAAUUAGAUACUCUGGUAGUCCACGCCUUAAACUAUGGACACUAGGUAUAGGGAGUAUCGACCCUCUCUGUG